UAGGUAACCUGCCUCUAAGAUUGGGAUAACUUGUCGAAAGACGAGCUAAUACCAAAUAAGACCACAGUCUCCUCGGGGACAGAGGUCAAAGGUAGCCUCUAUUUAUAAGCUAUCGCUGAGAGAUGGGCCUGCGUACCAUUAGCUUGUUGGUGAGGUAACGCUCACCAAGGCAAAGAUGGUUAGCUGGUCUGAGAGGAUGAUCAGCCACACUGGAA
rnacentral:rRNA from 1 species